rnacentral:rRNA from 1 species
CCUACGGGAGGCAGCAGUGGGGAAUAUUGCACAAUGGGGGGAACCCUGAUGCAGCGACGCCGCGUGGGUGAAGGAGUACUUCGGUACGUAAAGCCCUAUCAGCAGGAAAGAAAAUGACGGUACCUGACUAAGAAGCCCCGGCUAACUACGUGCCAGCAGCCGCGGUAAUACGUAGGGGGCAAGCGUUAUCCGGAUUUACUGGGGGUAAAGGGAGCGUAGGCGGGACUGAAAGUCAGAUGUGAAAACCACGGGCUCAACCUGUGGCCUGCAUUUGAAACUGUAGUUCUUGAGUACGGGAGAGGUAGACGGAAUGCCUAGUGUAGCGGUGAAAUGCGUAGAUAUUAGGAGGAACACCAGUGGCGAAGGCGGUCUGCUGGACAGCAACUGACGCUGAGGCGCGAAAGCGUGGGGAGCAAACAGGAUUAGAUACCCUGGUAGUC